ensembl:snRNA U6 U6 spliceosomal RNA
AUGUUUGCUUCGGCAGCACAUAUACUAAAAAUUGGAAGGAUUACAGAGAAGAUUAGUAUGGUCCCUGCGCAAAGAUGACAUGUAAAUUUGUGAAACAUUCCAUAUUUUU